AUUCUAGGAUCGGGGGACGAGUCUCCACCUCAAGGUUGAGAAGGAGGCGUUUCGCUUUUGUCUUUUGAAUCUCUAAGGUAACUGAAGUAGAGUUUUGGUCCACUACUGGUCUGACGGGCUGUAGGAGCGAGGAUGAGGGUCGACUUGGUGUCCUUUUGGCAUAGUUCAUUUUGUGAUAUCAAUUUUUGGAGAGUUGUCGUACCUUAUGUGGAAGCAACUCAUCUUGUA